AUCAACUUUCGAUGGUAGGAUAGAGGCCUACCAUGGUGGUAACGGGUAACGGGGUGUUAGGGCACGACACCGGAGAGGGAGCCUGAGAAACGGCUACCACAUCCAAGGAUGGCAGCAGGCGCGCAAAUUACCCAAUCCCGACACGGGGAGGUAGUGACAAUAAAUAACAAUACGGGGUUCUUUCGGAUCUCGUAAUUGGAAUGAGUACAAUUUAAAUCUCUUAACGAGGAACAAUUGGAGGGCAAGUCUGGUGCCAGCAGCCGCGGUAAUUCCAGCUCCAAUAGCGUAUAUUAAAGUUGUUGCAGUUAAAAAGCUCGUAGUUGAAUUUCGGGAUCAAUAUGUUGGUCGUGCCUUGGUACGUACUGGCGUCAUUGGUUUCUACCUUCUGAAGAACCUCGAUGUCAUUAAUUUGGUGUCUUGGGGAAUCAGGACUGUUACUUUGAAGAAAUUAGAGUGUUUAAAGCAGGCUCACGCUUGAAUACAUUAGCAUGGAAUAAUGAAAUAGGACGUUUGAUUCUAUUUUGUUGGUUUCUAGGAUCGACGUAAUGAUUAAUAGGGAUAGUUGGGGGCAUUAGUAUUCAAUUGUCAGAGGUGAAAUUCUUGGAUUUAUUGAAGACUAACUACUGCGAAAGCAUUUGCCAAGGAUGUUUUCAUUAAUCAAGAACGAAAGUUAGGGGAUCGAAGACGAUCAGAUACCGUCGUAGUCUUAACCAUAAACUAUGCCGACUAGGGAUCGGAUGAUGUUAAUUUUUUAAUGACUCAUUCGGCGCCUUACGGGAAACCAAAGUGUUUGGGUUC
rnacentral:rRNA from 1 species